GCCUCUGUAGCUCAAUGGAAGAGCAGUUCCGUCCUAAGGAAAGGGUUGGGGGUUCGAGUCCCUCCAGGGGUA
rnacentral:tRNA from 1 species